CCCAGCGCUUCGCGUACCAGGAAGGGGACGGCGUCCUGAAAGGGACAUUUGAAAAACGGAGGCAACGCGUCUAUUAAUUAGGUGGCGGCGCCUGGGGUCGCAGCACUCCAGAGGCUGAGAGUCUCGCCCUUUUGCCUAGUGGAGGAGCUCGGCUCACUGCAAGCUCCGCGCCACAACCCCCCUGCCGCCCCAGGUUCAAGAGAUUCUCCUGCCUCAGUCUCCCGAGUAGACUGGGAUUACAGGCGAGUGCCACCAUGCCCGGCUAAUUUUUGUAUUUUUGGUAGAGACGGGGUUUCAUUAUGUUGGCCAGGCUGAUCUCGAACUCCUGACCUCAAGUGAUCCGCCUGCCUUGGCCUCCCAAAGUGCUGGGAUUACAGGCGUGAGCCACAACGUUGGGCCAGGUAUUGUAUUUCUAUGUUAUUAUUAUUUUUUGUAUUUCUAUGUCAUACAGGCUUGUAUUUCUGUUAAAAACAAGUCCUUAUCUCUUUGAGAUACAUACUGAAGUUUU
rnacentral:lncRNA from 10 species